GUGGCUGUGACCUGGAGAAGCCAAAAGCCUGCUCCUGUCCUCCCCUGAGACGCGCUGGAUGUGCAGCUGGGAGUUCUCUAAAGGAUUUCACAGCAGCUGAGCUCAUGCAAAAUGGUAUUUUUGCUUUGCCCUUUGCAUGCCUUCCCCGUCCUUGUCCCUCUGGUUUCCCUCCCGCGCUCCAGAAGAAGAGAAUGAUGGCAGACACGCCAGCUUUGAAAGCACGGAGUGCUUCAGCGAAGGCAGCUCAUUACAACAUGUUCUCACCGAUGUCUGCCGCCCCUUAUCAGCCCAUCAGCCCGAGCGCAUCGCCCUCCGGCUGCCACCAGACACCGCUCGUCCCCGGAGGGCGAGCCCUGGCUGCAGCCUGACUCACUGCGUGGGAGACAGUAAUUAUUCUGUCUGUUGCAAAUUGGACCAGUAAUAACCUUUCUCUUCAUAGCAGUAAUGAUGCUCUUUUAAAAAUAUAUUUUAAUUGAUCGUGGAUAAUGAGUUGGACUGAGGGAGCGGGCAGUGGGGGGGGGUGAGGGCAGGAUGGGGCAGAUGGAGCAGGAGGAAGAGGAGGUGGUGAUGUCACACAGGGAUGCUGUGGAGGGAUGGAUCCUGCACACAGAGGCAGCAGGUGAGGCUCACUGCGGUCCCAUCAGGGAUUUGUCCUCUAUCCUGGUGCCUAAGCAAGGGCUGCAUCCCGCAGCAUUUCAAGUGCCACUACUUGCAGAGCAGGGAGAUGCCUCUGUUCUUGUCUCUUGCUGGGAAGAAAAUGCAACAAUGCUCUCUAGAGGCAGAAGAAGUCAAGAAGAGGCUCGCUUUUCCCACUCCACACUUCACUGUGACCUUGCUGCUCUUUGCAGCUGUUUAUUUCCCACAUAAACAGCAAUUUCUGGGUAUUUUGGCCUCUUGUGAUGUAGCUCAGGUUGUUUGUUUCACCCCACCCCAGGGCAACCUCAUGUAAUUAGUGCGAGAGAGGGCUGGGAGCUAUGGUUCAGGUCAGGAUGCGGCUCUGGGGCUGGAAGGCCGUGCAGGGCAAUGGGAAUAGGGAAGGAUGCAAGAAGAGAUGGGCUCCAGUGUGGUCCAGCAUCACUGUGGAGCAAGGAAAGCCUCUGGAGCUUGCGGUGGGAUGCUGAUAGGGGAAUGUCCCUAAGGACUGAUUCACCCCAGGGCAGGUGCAGCUGUAGGUGAAACAGGAGCUGCAGGAGCUGAGUCAGGCAGCAACUGCCCCUUAAUAAAAGCCAGAGGGGGCAGAGGAGCUGGUCUGGGGGGCUGUGGGUCUCUUGUGUGUAUACAUACAUANUGGUUAGAUAUUUAUUUGAACCAUGUAGCACCAUAGAUAGUCCCCAGCCCCCAGCAUAACUUCUUCCUAUAGCAAAGGAUGUGACUUGUUUAGACAUCAAACACAUAUCAAGUGGCUUGGUGUUAGUAUUCUGAAGCACUCGCUCUACGGCAGGCGCCAGUGCUAACAUCAUUACACAACUCAUGUUGCACAAUGACAGCAGCAUUUGUUGUUUAUUUUUAUCAGACCUGUAAGGCUCAUCUUUUCC
rnacentral:lncRNA from 1 species